rnacentral:rRNA from 1 species
UUAUGACCUGGGCUACAAACGUGAUACAAUGGCUGUUACAAGGGGUAGCUGAAACGUAAGUUCUUGGCCAAUCCCCAAAAACAGUCUCAGUCCGGAUUGAAGUCUGCAACUCGACUUCAUGAAGUUGGAAUCGCUAGUAAUCGCGAAUCAGCAUGUCGCGGUGAAUACGUUCUCGGGGUUUGUACACACCGCCCGUCAAACCACGAAAGUUGGCAAUACCCCAAAAUGGUAGCCUAACUCGUUUAUUCGAGAGGGCGCUGUCUAAGGUAGGGUCGAUGAUUGGGGUUAAGUCGUAACAAGGUAUCCCUACCGGAAGGUGGGGAUGGAUCACCUCCUUU